rnacentral:lncRNA from 1 species
CACAGAUAAAAUCCACAUUUAUUCUCUGUUGAGCACCAGCUGAGCUGGUCUUGCAAGGACCGGAUGACUCAUCUUGAAGGGUCAUGAGACCCCCUGGGCUCUUCAUGCAGGUAAUCCUAGUUCCUAUGACUGGAGAAACAGUGAAGUCACUGCAUGCACCUGGGCUUCCCCCUGGAUUGGACUCUGAUUCUGACAUACACAGAUAUUUGAUGCCAAGUCACAAAGGCCUGGCAGUGCUGCAGGAGGAGAACAUUUUAUCACAGUGUUCUACUCUGGAAAAUUUCAUCCCAAGAAGGACCCUGUGUAGUGUCCUCCACUGCAAGGUCAUCCCCUUGUUGAAUGCA